GCCUUCGUAGCUCAGUGGCAGAGCGCGGCACUCGUAAUGCUGAGGUCCCGAGUUCAAUUCUCGGUGGAGGCU
rnacentral:tRNA from 1 species